GACAGAGGGGGCAAGCGUUGCUCGGAAUCACUGGGCGUAAAGGGCGCGUAGGCGGGAUGGCAAGUCGGUCGUGAAAUCCUUCGGCUCAACCGAAGAACGUCGGCCGAUACUGCCGUUCUUGAGGGAUGCAGAGGAGAUUGGAAUUCCCGGUGUAGCGGUGAAAUGUGUAGAGAUCGGGAGGAACACCGGUGGCGAAGGCGACUUCCUGGACCAAUACUGACGCUCGAGGUGCGAAAGCGUGGGGAGCAAACAGG
rnacentral:rRNA from 1 species